GUGCUCACUUUGGUAGCACAUAUACUAAAACUGGAAUGAUACAGAGAUUAGUAUGGCCUCUAUGCAAGGUGGACACACAAAUUCAUGAAACAUCCCAUAUUUUU
rnacentral:snRNA from 1 species